UCCCACCCCAGGAUCUCUCCUCUCCUCUCCUCCACAUCCGCCGCACCCAGCCACCCAUCCCCCGCCGCCGCCUACCUCCACUCCACCGGCGACAUCCGCCCUCUGCCCCCGAUCCUCUCCACCUCCCCUCACCUUCUAUCCCACAGCGGGGCCCCUAGAUCGAGGAGGCGGGCGCCGUCAGAUCCGCCAUGCCCACAGCUCUCUCUGCCCCACCCCAAACCCUACCCACAACCGCCGCCAUGCUCCAUCACCAGCGACCUUGCCGCCGCCACCCCUAUCCCCUCGCCCUAUCUCCAUACCCGCGACGCCGAGCCGGACGGGAGGAGCCACCGCCCCACAGCACGCUCGCACCGAUACGUACAGGCGGUGCCCCCACCAGAUCUGAACAAGAACACCGAGUGGUUCAUGUACCUGGCGUUCCUAGAUCCAUCCGCCCCACCCUCUGCUCACCCUAUCUCCCUCGGUGUUGGGGCAUCCAGAUCGAGCAGGUCAGGUGCCGGCGCUCCACGAUCUCCAUGCGAUGCGCCGGCGAGGCGACGGUGAUGCUUGUGGUGGACGCCUCCGCCGUCUUCCACCGACACACAGCCGCGCCCUCCGACGCCGCUCUUCCACGCGACGAGAGGCCUGGGUGCCGCUCGGCUAGGACAGAACCCCGCGCUCGACGAUGCCAUGGACAUGGAGGUCUUCAAGGUCUUUAUGAAGCUUUGGAACUGAGGGACGAUGGAUCUGACUACUUGGGAAAGGGUGUUUCCAAGGGGGUGGCCGCGGUAGCGAGCGGCGCGAGUUGGUGGCUGAGGGACUCGACGGCAUGGCUCAUAUAUGCGCGAGCUGGGCAUUACUUUGAGUUCAUAUAUGUGCUUGUCACUCCAUAGGCCUUGGACAAGAUCAGUACGGUGCCGAUGGAGGCCCUCGCCGCCGGCGCCGAUGUGUCCAUGAUUGGGCAGUUUGGUGUUGGCUUCUACUCCGCCUACCUUGUUGCCGAGAGGGUCGUCGUCACCAUGAAGCACAACAACGACAGGCAGUACGUGUGGGAGUCCCAGGCCGGUAGCUCCUUCACCGUCACUCGUGAUACAUUUGGGGAGCAGCUCGGCAGGGGUACCAAUAUGGUCGUCUACCUCAAGGACGACUAGGUUAUUUGCAUCUUGAUUAGGAGAUGAUGGUGAUCAUCUUUUGUUGCGGGGAACCUGUUAGAUAAAGUUUAUGUGAUUUGAACCUGCAAGAUACAGUUCUGUAUAAUGUUGUGUGAGAUAAAAGUUAUGUACUUGUGAACAUAGGAGAUAAGUUAUUGAUAUGUGUUGGUCUGUCUAAUGUUAUGCGAGAUAAAGUUGUGUGAGAAAGUUUUCUAUACUUGUGUUAUUACUGUGGGAAAGAAGUACUGUUACUAUACUGAUUUGAGAAUAUUGGCUGUAAAUAAAAGAGGGCUUGGCCCACUAUUGGAUUGUAA